AUAAAUUACAAGAGUCGUCUAUAAAGCUCUCUAAGUGAUACAAAAUCCAUAGUAUAAAGUACUGAUCCAGGCAAGCUAAUUAAACAAGCCAUUCAGAUACUAGUUCUAUGGCCAAGCCAAGUUUUUGGCAAUGGAAUUCUCCAGUUCCAUAUGUCUACUGCUUUUUUGCCUUCCUCUUGGUGCUCCUUGCCUGUGCUUUAGUCAUUCUGUUCUGCUCUCAUCCAUUUUCCUCAGAAUCCAAAAGCGAUGCAGAAGAAAAGGAAACAAGAAACUUGAGCGCUGUAGAUCCAGAGAUGAUCACAGUAUUAGUAGUCUUGCCAGGACAUGCCAAUCCCAUGUACGUAGCAAAGCCCCUGGCUUCUAGUACUGCUGCUUCUGCAGCUAACCACCUGUAAAUCAUGUAUAGCUUUUUAGCUUUGAAGAUGGAUGUUUGACUGUAACUUUGGAACGUUUUCACCAUGUUUGUAUUGCAAUACAAAGAAUCUGACCGAAUUUUCCACGGCUUUUCAAACAGUAGCAUCGGGAUUUUCAAUCGUGAUUCAUGAAUGUCAAGAAAUCUAUCAUGUCAGAUCUAAGAUUUUGGCACCUUCCAGCAUGCUUGUCUAAAAAUCCAUCUGCAUUUUUCAUUCUAUAUAUGUCUUCUAAUCUAAGUGGAUAAAUAGUACAGGUACUUUACUAAGUCAGGAUUUACAACUGGCAUCGAUCAUUUCACACUGUGUUUCUAAAGAUUUUUAUAGCAUCUGAGUCGCUUUUUUUUUUUUUUCUUUUUCUUUGAAGAUCAAUCAAGAUCUUAUCCAUUGUUGCAGCUUGAUUAAUCUUUUCUGCAUUGAUAAUGUAUAAAGAAUUCGAAUUCGAUACAUACCUGAUGCCACUUCAUAUUGGCUUGUGUUGUAGUAUAAGAUUAUUUUGCAUUGAUACAUUGUUGCAGUUUGAUUAAUCUUUUCUGCAUUGAUAAUGUAUAAAGAAUUCGAAUUCGAUACAUAUCCGAUGCCACUUCAUAUUGGCUCGUGUUGUAGUAUAAGAUUAUUUUGACUCUUGGAUGUAGGAGGAAAAAGUGUAAAAAUAUAAGAAGUAGGAGGUACAGGACUUUCUUUUUUUUGUCAUCACAGGGAGUAUCCCUUGUGGACUAAUCUCCCUUUGUCUGUGCACCCGCCUCCCAAGAUGCACAAGACAGUAGAAGAAAUCGAACCACAAUCACAUGGUGCAGGAACCUAACGAGGCAACCCAACACCAGCCGAGCCGACACCCGAGGGACAGGUACAAGACUUUUCUUAGGACAGCGAAAUUUUACUUGGUUUCAUUGAAUUUGAUUGAGCCAUCGUCAGGAGUAACAAUUGUGGUUUGCUAAUUCAAUUUAACCUCUUCUUUUGCAUGUUCAUUUUCACACAUUUCCUUUACCAAUCUUUCUCCUCAAUACUGUAGCUCGGCUCCAAUCCUGUUGCUAUUCGGGCACUGAACUACUGUUAUAUCUAAUGGUUGUCGUGGUCAACAAAAAACUGUACUCAACAGCGAGUGGCACUUACCACUAGGCCCAACAUCCCAUGAUUGAAAUAUUAAAAGAGAGCAUGACUAUUAAUUACCCAAUUAUUUCAUGUAAAUCACGCAGUAUUAAGUCAAGUAAUUGAGAAUUGGAUAUUUUUGCUUAAAAAGUACAAUUUCCAUGCAUCAUUAUUUCUUUUUUAUACUUCUUCUUUUCAAUUCAUUUGGAAAGAAGAAAAAGAAGAAGAAGAAGAAGAAAACGUCUGGUUCAGUAAUAACAUUUUGUCAUCAAAUGCCUAAACUAUAACAAACCUUCAGAAAGCACCUGCAAUAGUCUUUCUUGAACAGGUUCAAAUUGGCAAGAGCUUUUUUUUGGGGGGGGGGGCGUUUGGUAUAUACAGAAGGGACAAGACAAUUAACGGGGAAAAAAAGGUGUGUGUGACAUCAGGUUUGUGAGGACAGAUCGAAACAAUUUCAGCCAUGGCAGCAGCAUACAAUAGGAAAAUUCAGGACGAGGUGCCUGAACGGUCAUCAGAGACAACUGUCCCAGGCAGUUCACGGCCUGGAUGAGGUCUCAAAAAUUUGUGCGGCUCAGAUCACGUCUUGUAACUCGAUUUUCACGCCAUGUGGGACCCACAAAAAUGUUGUUCUAGUGUUAUUCGCUGUUGUUCUAUUGUUACACCUUGUACAGAUGAUGUUACACCAUGUAUAAAUGGUGUUACACCUUCCGGAGCGAUGUUCUGACAACCGUUCCAGCCCCGCGUCCGAAAAUUCAUGGCAACAUAGGAAACUAAUUGAUUUGAACAAAUAUGGAAAGAGAAAGCAACAACUCCUACUGAGACAAAGAGAAUUCAAUCAUAUCCCAAUUUGACUAAAUUUUACUAUUAUCAUAUUAUUCCUUUUAGGAACUAUGCAAUGUGCACCACAUUCUUAAUUCAGAUCAGCAAUCCUAAAUGUGAAAAUCGUCAAUUACUAGAUCUUUCCAGCUUUCUGAUGAUUUUUGUUCUUUUUGAUUAAGAAACAUUUGCUUGUUCACAUGGAGCCCAAGACAAGUGCAAGUCAAGAUACGAUCCACCAAAAGGACAACCAACAAGAGUAACACAGUGGCCUUACUUGUCCGGUAUUGCAAUUGAUCAAUAAGCCACAACAGAACAAAUGGACGUGGGGAACAACUAAAAAGGGGUUGGGAACAGUGUAUGUCCCAUGCCAUUUGGGGUUCUUUCUUAAGUCUCUUUUGUUCCUUCACUUGAAGCUAUAUCUGGACCCAUGAGAUGAGAUGUCCCAAGAAAAUGAAAGCUCUCCAAUUUUUAACAUGCAUAAAAUACAAAUGACUGUUGCCACUUCGUGUCAAUGCCUGCAGCUUUGAGAUCAUCACCUGUACAAUGUUAUUUCGCUCAAGUUUCUUGGUGCACCAAUUUUCAAGCAUACUUAUUACUAUAAAAAACGAUUUGAUUUCUUAACCGACGACACUGUUCUUCUAAUACUUCAACUUACUGCUUUAGACAAAGAAGAUUAUUGGACUUUUAUCUCCAGAAGGAUGAAUUCGACAUUUUGAAUCAAAUCUCUUUUGUCUUGAAAUGAAAUUUUUGGUAUUGCAGGCUUUAUCUUGAGAAUGGUAACUUGAACCGCUUGCAUCAAUAUGUACUUCCUUUAAAAUUGUGGGAAAUUUUCUAGCACAGUAGGAUUAAAUCUACACAAAUACUCCCCAGGCAUUAAAGAUCCCUAAAAAGUGCCUAGCAUGUGAGCAACAAGGCAUGAUACUCGGGAAAAUGACAGGAAUUUCGGAAAGGAUGAAUGCAAUAAAUGAAGCAGUAUAUGUUUUACUUUGAAUGCUAAAGUAGCCUGACCACAUAAUGGGCAACUAUUCUGGAUACACGAAUUACCUAACAACCGAACGAGACUCGUACAUUUACACCGUCCAAAGCCUUGCAUUCUCCCUUUAUUUUAAAAGCGCAAGAAACAUGUAGUAUGUGGUUUAUGAGCAGACCCCCUAAAGGCUAAAGCAAAGAAAGUUGAGAAUUAAGAAUCCUCUGGGUAUAUCCUGAUCUAGGUAUAACUGCAGUUUGGUUCUUUCUUACGUAUUACUCCCUCUCAAAGUAGAAAAGCUGCAUCCUUAUUUAUUUCAUGGCGUUAUGUUUUAUUUGACAUGACACAGAAGUGAUGUACCCAGUAAAAUUAAUGAGGAAGGCGAUAAAGAAAGAAGAAGUUGUUUCUCUCUAACCCACAUUAAAACCAAGGGCACAACUCACAUAUUCUCUCAGUUGCACGUAGGGCUAUAGGCAUCUGUGUAUUUGCAUUUAAGACUAGCUUUUCAUUGAUGGCAUGACCAGAGUAGUAAAAGUUGCAUGUUCUCUUCUCUUGGUUAGAGGAAAAAUCAAAAACAUGUCCUUUCAAAUUCAAGGAGACUUGGCUUGAGCGGUGUUUUUAUGCUUUUUGUAUGACACAUCUCUCUUUCUUUUGGCAGCUUCUAGCUGUACUGGUGAUGUAAAGUCAGGAAAAAUAAUUAAUUGGCUAUUUAGAUAUCCAGGUGGUGAAAUUUAAUCCAGCUAAUAAAAGAGAAUAAAAUAAAUAGUCGGUUGUGUUGCUUUCAAAAGUAUAAGAGAGGCAUGUCUGUUGUUCAUGAUAGAGCUGUAUUGGUCAGACAGGAGAAAGCACAUGUGGUUUUCACAGGUGUUUUAGUUUAGUUCUUACGCUGAUCACCACCUUGUAUCUCUAAAACACUACUGUUUCUUGGUUGUUCUUCCAACCUUUCUUUUAGCCCUCAAAAUGGAUUCUUCCCUAGUUUUUGGAGGUGCAGAAGAAUGCCACAGCAGUGAAUCCGGGUGGACUAUGUACAUUGGCUCACCUGUGCAAGGUGAGGAGGAUGAUGAUAUUGAUCCAAGUGGCUAUGAUGCUCAUGGAGAAUUUGAUGGUUUAGCUGAAGAAAAUCAUAAAGCUAAUCAUCAUGAUGCAAAUAGUGAUGAUUCUAUGGCCUCUGAUGCUUCUUCUGGUCCCAGUCAUCGAGAGCAACCGUGGACGGCUGGUCGCGGAAUAACUGAAUACUACAAGGGGCAUGACGCCAAUGUUGAUGGAAAACAUUGCUCCAGCCACAAAAGCAAGAAGGCGGGAGUCAAGAAGAAUAGGCAUGAGAAGAAGAAUAAAGAGAAGGAUGAGGCUGAAGUUGCUGCAAAGGGAGUCAAGUAUUUUACACAAGGUAGUAAGGUGAGGAAAAAUCUAGGAUGUGGGAAAAGAAACUAAAUGAACUGAAAUCUCCAUAUCCUUCUUGCUGUGUCAGCCAUCAAUAGCAGAAGUUAUUUUGAAGCCUGUAGAAAUUAGAAUCCUGGCAUGAGCUUAAAAUGUUUCCAAUUAGAUAUGUUAGCAAUUUUUGUACUUUGGCCAUGCGAUAAAUAUAUUAAUUUUUAGCACAUGCACAAGUGCAUGAUUUUAAGUAAAGUAUUCCAUUAUUAUGCUUGAGAACAAGACACAAGCAUAAGCUAUUUGCAUGUACUUGAGCAGGCGGGGGAAAUGAGAAUCUGAUUGGAAAAUCUCAGAAUAUUAUUGCAUCUCAAAUAAGAUUUCUUAAUCGUAUGAUUUAUUUUGUCUAUGGUUCUCAUGGUUGUAUAUGAUUAAUGCAGACAUUAGAAACGAUUAGUCAACAUCAGCUGUAAAAAGUUAUUUUAAGUUAAAAAAACAACAGGUUGUUGAUAAAUUCCAUCCAUGUAAGUUUGAACUUUGAACAGGCAUAAACUGAAAAGCAUCUACAGGUGUAGCCUCCACAACAUCAAAUUUUGUGUAAUCAUAUGUCUGUGUGCUUGAGGGUGUUUCUUUUGCUUGGACAGAAUGACCAGAUCGAUGAGAGAAAAGGAAGAUAUGCAAUUCUAUGAUUUGCUCUCCAACAAAUCUAGAGAAAGAAUGUUUGGAAGACAUCCUCUAAAUAAAUUUUAAGCCAAAAGACAUCAGCUAAUUAAAGGUUAACUCGAAAUUCUUGAACGUUUCUUUUCUUGUCAGCAAAUGAUAAUCCUUCCGUUGAUCAGCAAGAUAACAAAGGUGGUCAACCUCUAAAUAUGUGUAGAGGAUGGAACUUAUGCAAUGAAGAAAGUUCUCAUUCAGAAUACUGAACAGCUGGAGUUGGUGAGAGAGGAGAUCCGAGUUUCAUCCCUGUUCAGCCAUCCCAAUCUGCUUCCUCUCCUUGAUCAUGCUAUCAUUGCAAUCAAGGUAAGAUCUUGUAAAACUUGGUUGUUAUCUCCAUGUCUAACUUUUAUUGAUGUUAAUUCCUUGUGAAGUAAGAUUAUUUGUCCACGAAGUAGGAUGAGGUGUUCCCUUUAAGGAGAACAAUUUUUAAAGUCAUUCAUAGCAUUGGUUGAUGAAUAGAUGUUCAAAGUCAAGGCGGUCAAGAUAUUGUCUCUAAGUCUUUUUGUCAUAAAUCUUCUGGCGUUGUAUAUGUGCAUAGCAUCACCCUCAAUUGAAUGAAGGAAGCUGUGCUCACUACUGGCAGUUUGAGAGAGAGUUUAAAUUGUGUGGUGGUAAUUUUCAUGGAAUAAGCAGUAUAUAGAAGUGACAAGCCAUGAAUAACAGGUGCAGAGUGUUUAUCUCAUGAUUUUCAUUCAUUUUCAUAUGCGAUUAAGCCUUCUAUGGUUUUGGUCUUAUUUUCCCUUUAUUUGUUCCUUUCCUUUCAAUGAAUUUUAUUCUUAAUUGCUGCAUUGUUAGAUAUACAACACCAUUCUGCCCAUUCACCACCAGUCUUUGCGGAUUUUUAUUUGAUACACUAGAUGUUUUUAUUUUCACUGACUCGUAUAUUUUUGACACUAAAUUCUGUAUGGUAGGCCCCCACACAAGAUCAGUCUUGGAAGCAUGAAGCUUAUUUGUUGUUUCCAGUCCAUUUGGAUGGGACUUUGAUGGACAACUCCAAGACUAUGAAGGCUAAGAAGGAGUUCUUCUCUACCUCAGAUGUUCUUCAAAUCUUCCAUCAGGUGAGUGAAAAUAAAAAAUGUGCAAAAGAUUGCAUAUCUUGUUCACUAGUUUGUUGUCCAUUAGCAUGUACUGCACUGAAAUUUUCUGAAAAAAUGUUUCUUUAGUAAUUACAUAGUCUUGCAUACCUGGGUUCAUUAUUCUGUUUAGUAUGUCUUGGUCUUUCCAAAACUUGAAAAGGAUUAAAGGAUGUAGGAAGAUCAAUUUUGUUUUGGAUAUAUUUAUUUUUCAUUCUAGCACCUGAAUUGAGAAUUCAGUGCUUUUGCUAAGACUGAAUUUAUCUGCAAUAAAUGCUUUUCUGAAAAGAUAGUUGUUCUGCAGCUUUGUGCAGGAUUGAAGCAUAUGCACAAUUUUGAACCUCCAUAUGCACAUAAUGAUGUUAAAGCUGGCAAUGUACUUCUGACACAUAGAAAAGGGCAAGCACCUCUUGCAAUCCUGAUGGAUUUUGGAAGUGCUCGUCCUGCCAGGAAGCAGAUUCGAUCUCGUUCCGAGGCCCUUCAAUUACAGGUCCUUGGAAUAUUUUUCUUUGUUUAUAAUCAUAUGUUGUUCAUUGAAUCACUCUAUAUUUGUUACUCAAGCAAACUUUCCCAACUGAUGCUAGUACUUUGACAUUGCCUGUGUGUAUGAUCUAUUCAAAUGUGCAGUUUUCAGCAAAGUUUGUUGUAUCUCCUACUUAUUUUAGUUAGUUUCUGUUGUUGGUUGUGCAGGAAUGGGCAUCUGAGCACUGUUCAGCCCCUUACCGUGCUCCUGAAUUGUGGAUUGUCCCAGCCAUGGAGAUAUAGAUGAAAGAUCUGAUAUCUGGUCACUGGGAUGCACUUUAUAUGCAAUAAUGUGAGGCUUCUAACUAUUUUUCUUUUGGAUUGUGAUUAAUAUACAAUUUAUGAAAUAGAAUUCUUGUUCAAUUGAAAUAGUUUCUAAUGCUGAUGGAGCAGAUUCUUGGGUAUAUAAAACAGUCUCCUUCACAUCCAGUGAUCAUACUUGAUGCCUUUAUUUUUCCUUGAAGUUGAAUGCUUUUAAUUUUUGCAAAGUUUUCUAUGUUGCCACUUGCUUUUUCUGCCUAGCCACCUCACAAUUAAUUGUGAUGAAAGGGGCUUUGAUUGAUAAAUCAAAUUACAUUUAUUGUUGUAUCUGGUGUUUCAUUUUUAACUCUAAACAUAGAUAUUGUUGCAUGUUAUCGUCACUUUUAUGCUUGUAAACAGCUAAAAAAUGAUAACGUCGAACUCGUAUCUGUCAGUGAGUAGGCGUCGAUGUCAAACUCAUUGUCAACAAAUAAAGUCAUUGACCUAUUACUAGUAUGGAUUACAUGGAUGAGAUAUUUGGAGACCUUUUGCCAUGAUGGUCAUUAAAUUUCUUCAUUCUUGGCUGCUUCUCCAGGUAUGGCGUAUCUCCAUUUGAGUAUGCACUUGGAGAAUCUGGUGGGAGUUUACAGUUGGCUAUUGUAAAUGCACAAAUAAAGUGGCCAGCUGGGCCUAAUCCUCCGUAUCCUGAAGCCCUUCACCAAUUUGUGACAUGGAUGCUUCAGCCACAACCUACAGUACGGCCACGAAUCGAUGAUAUCAUCAUUCACGUUGAUAAGUUGAUCGCAAAGUUCUCUAAUUGAAGAAAUGGGAACUAGAAAAAUGUUGGUUUAAUUAUACAGGAGCUUUAUCUAUCUUGUUAUAUUUUGGCAUGUGGGUAAUGAAAGUUAGUUCUUAUCAAUCUUUCACUAUUAUGGUUAGUUUGUGAUAAGAAGAUUUAGCAAGUUCUCAGUUCUCAUUUCACAUUUAGGAGAGCUCUUGGCAAUUUUUUUGUUUUUUUCUCCAUCUUGUCGUUGGUGUAAUAGGAAUUGAAUACAUCAGUCAAGUUUGAUGCCGUAAUGAUACCAAAAUUUUACUCAAAAAUUUUCCCCCUCUCUCUCUGUGAACGUGCUUAUGGGCAUAGUUAUGACUAUUAUGUAAUUACUUUCUUUUGGUGCAUUAGAAACAAAUAAUGUUACAUCCAUUCAACAGUAUAAUGAUGCUCGUGAUUGAGCCUUGGACAUUGAUCUAUUCAAAAGCCUCCUUCUUUGCAUUUGCAUUUGACCAAAUGACAACAGCACAAUAUUUGCCUCACAUAUAUUCUUCUGAAGUAUCUGCAGGCAGAGAGGAAGGUAAGAAUGAUUUUUGACUUAGUGAUGCAACUAAAGAAUUGUUAACAGGAAAUGCUAACAAAAGAUACCUUUCCUCAGUGGAUAUCAUGCCUGUGCCUGGUCAGUGAAUCAUCAUUAGUCUUGAUGUUCCUCCUCCCCUUCAGAAUCUACAGAUGAAACACACAGGAGAUAAAACUUGCAGUUCCAAUCUAGAAACUUGAGUUAAAAAUUCUAUUUGAUCCAUCAUUGACUCUCUAACUUGUACGUCUGCACUUACCAGAUCUCACAUCGUCACUAACUUGCCCUUUUGAUUUGAUUUGUUCUACGGCCAUCUUGAGCGCUAGUUUACCCCAGUACCAGUGCAGAGCAAGCAAGCAGAAAAGCAGAGAGUUGAAGAAGUAGUAAAGGACAGUUCCCUCAGUGUUGUUAAUACCGUCCAAGAUGUAAAGUAUUUCAUAGCUGUGAACAAACACAACUCGUUUUUAGACGGAAAGAAAUAGAUACUUUAGUAGGAUAAACCAUCAUGCAGAACCGGAACUUACCUCGUGCUCCUCAGGACCCAGAAGGGAAAAAGAAUAAGCCGGAAAAUUAGCCAAGAAAGUGCGAAAAUGGGGAACAAAGUGUUAGCAAGCCUAUCAUAACCACUAUAUUUGGACAUCUUGGCAGUUUCAAGAAAUACAUCACUUGCUUCAUGGAGUGCCAAAACAACUGAUCCAACGCGACCAAACCUGCAACAGAAACAGAAUGAGGACUCUGAACAUAGCUUAGGAGCAAGACGAGUAAUCUAAGACUAACAGUGAAUGUUCUUCGCACUUCUUAAAGUGCAGGAACUGAAAAUGUUGGCUAAUAUCUUGUAAUGGAGUUUCUGCUAAGAACAAGAGGUGUUUAAGCACCGAGUCCUGAUGCAGCCAGACUCUGACGACUCUGAAUAUCUAAUGCAUGAGAUUUUAGAAACCAUGCAAGUGCCUAAUAAAUGUGCCUGGAUAUGCUGCACAUUUACAUUUUCAUAGUUCGGUGCUUAGACAUAUGAUCCAUGUUGCUUGAGCAUUUGCGAUUGCAGCUCAAGAAAUGGCAACCAGCCAGUUAGAAGAAUACAGUCUGAAAGCACCAUAUGACCACGCAAUAAUUUUGGGCUACUAAGUUCCAUACCUGAAUAUAUAGGACACUGCAAUCAAUAGUACUGAUGCUACAUGAUGAAUCAUUGACGCCCAAAAAUCAGAGCGUUUCGUAUCCCAGAAGAGCAAGGCAACUAUGGCAUAAAUGUAAAAACCUCCAGAGUACAUGUAAAGAAGCUUCAGCUUAAACCUGAUCAGCAUUAAUAAAAUCAAAUAUACUGUACAUAACUGCAAAUUCAAGAGUUACAAGCUUUAAAUCCAGCAUAUUAUGAAUCAAAGAAGCUUACUUCAUUUUCUGAUCUGGCCAGACCUGAUCUCCAGGACCUAUCCAGAAAUAUCUGGUGUUGCUAAACCAGGGCUCAUUAUAAGUAACAAGAAUUGCCAGAAACUCUGCAGAUAUACCAUAAAAUGUUUUCCAGGCACACUCUUUGAACUUUGUAAUUGUCUUUCUCCUCAAACUUGUCUUCAACUUAGCAUGAUCCUUUCCGAAGAUUAGGCGCGUUGCUAAUUUCUGCAUAAAGCAUACAAUUUGAAUAAACAAGAAUGUAAAAAUUAUUGUGUGCAGUGCUCCCAGCUCAGGAAAAAUUCAAACGAAAUAGGAAAUGGAGAAAAUCAAUUUAAAAAGUAUACCUCGAAGAUAAAUCUAUCAAGAAUUAAGCGAAGUAACAGGAAGGAAACAGUGAAAAAGGGUAGGGCAAUAAGAUCUUGGUAUUGUGGAUAGGACUCCUCAUCCCAGCCAAUGUGGACACCUUUUCCCGAGAAGAAUCCCAUCUAAAAUACGAAGUAUCCUCCUAGAGAAUUUCUUCAACGCGAGUGUUUUCAAGAAUGGUAAUGAUGAAUUAAUGGGCUUAUAAGAGGCUAGAUUUCCUUUCUUCAGACUUGGGAAAAUCAAACUUGGCGGGCUGACUUUGCACGGUGUAUCAGACAGAAUAUGUAUAGGCAAUCAGUUUAUGAGUUUGAAAAAGUGAUUGUAAGUUACUACCUGACUUUAUGUUCAAGUUUUGUAGCUUGGAAAAAUUUCUCGAAGAUCAAUCUUAAUUUUCUGAUCCAGCCUUCUUAAGCGCCUGAUUAAGUUAUGAAUAGUUAAAGAGGAUGAUCAUUCAAAGGUUCAAGCCUGAAGCAAGAUAUAGUCGAUUAAGAACGGUUAAUGCUAGCUUUAACAAUUAGUGAUGCAUUAGCAUAUUGAUGCUGAGUGAGUAAAAUAAUUUGUCCCUGUAUGGGGUGGAUGUCAAAGUACUUCGAAUAGCAAAAUUGAAAAGAAAAAUGAAUCUAACCAUGAAAUUCUAGAAAAAAGUUGUUGUAAAUUUCGCGGAAGAAGACUCGACGAAGUUCAGAAUUCAAAGCUGUCACUUCCUCUGUUAAGUUUGGUCGUGCACUUGGGGAUUUAAAAAGUUGACUGGUCUAAUUUAGAAAAAGCCAAAAAGGAAGGACGAUUCCUCUUUUCACUUGUUAGCAUGAAUGGACACCACAGGGCCAACGGCCUUCGCUAUGAUUGGAUGGAUGAUUGAUUAUUUGGAUGGCUUCGGCAUUUGUAUAUGUAGAUGAAAUCUUGGAAGGUAAUGGGAAACAUUCAUGAUUCAAUAAUCAAUUAAUCACAGAUCAUUGACCGGCGCCAAUAACUUCAUCAAAAAUAUACACUAAUUAAUUUAGAAUAAGACAAUUCUUACCAAUUUGAUUAACAUUAGCCUCCAUCAGUUUUACAUAUAUACGACUGACUCCUAAUCCUAGGCACUUUACUCGAAAAUACGCAGAGACCCCAAAAUUGUUCAACAACUAUUUUUGAGAGUAAAUUAAGAUUAGGCGGCAUGCAUUUAUACUAGCGAGUAAUAUAUAUACUAUCAUCGGUGUACACAAGAUAAACAUAUUUUUUAUUAUUUUCAAUUAGAACGGAGAACGUGUUAAAUGUUUAUGUGUCGCCAAAAUUUUUAAAUAUAUUCUACAUUUGCCAGUAGAUAUUGCUCAAACAAAAACUCAGAUGAAUUUAGUCUUCCUCUUCUCUGUUCGAGCUGCACAUAUAAGUGAUGUAAAAGUUGGUCAAAUUGUAGCUUAACCAAAUGAAACAUUUGUUAGCUCACCAGCAGCUAAGGAUGGUAAGUGGAGUUUAAACUUUCAUUUCCUACCUUUUAUGGUCCUUAUCCAUUAGGCAGAGAAUGCUAUUUUACACGGCAGUAUAUUGGUAUUGCUGGACUGCCAGAGCCUUUUAGCCUCUUUAACGCACGAAGAAUGACAACAAACAACGGAACAAGAUAUACAAUAAUAUGUUACGUACUCAUGGAGUCAAAAGAUACGGCCACUUUCGAGAGUGUUAAUUCAACUGUUGCAUCUAAAUUGACAACUUUUGGAAUGUCAAUUUGACCCAAGAUUUAUCAAUGCUUCAUUUCCCAUUUAGAACCAGACUGGUUCUAGGCAUAUUUCAAUGUUUUCAAUGCUGUAUAUAUAAACAACAACUUUGAAUCCUAGUGCUUCAACCAAUAAAUAAAGAGGAAGAAAACUGGUUUGGUUCUACAAAUAUCGAUCCUAGACUGCCAUCCUCGUAGAGGGUUCAUGGAAGGGUGGAGUAUAAGUGCAUCUUAUUUUGCUUUUGGUGGGCUGAUUUUCUUCAAUUUUAUGGUGUUUUCUUUGAUGAUUGUAUGCUGUUCUAGACGAUUUCUGUCGAGUAAUUUGUCGAACGAUGAUAAUCGUCAAGCAGAAGAGAAGCCUCAGGAGCAAUUGCCGGUGAGCAAUGCAGAUGAGGCUCGUCCUGAACAGAUUGUUGUGAUCAUGGCUGGAGACCAGACCCCGAGUUUCAUUGCAAUGCCAGCGCCUUCGCCACGUCCAGGUUCUCCAGAAGAACAAGUAUGACUUUUUCUGAGCAGGGAAUUCAGAUUUUUUGUGCAUAGAACCUGGAAUUGUUCAAAUGUUUAUGAAUAUAAGGUAAUUCUUUUUGUUUUUCUUCCCUUUUUUUUUGAUAAAAUUGUAAAAUGAUUGAGGUAGGGAUUGAGAGGGAAAAGACUCCAAAAAUAAAGCUGGGCUUUGGACAGGGAAACAAUUUGUGUUCAGAUGAAUGUUUACGUUCCAUAUGCGAAUGCAUGAUAUAGUUUAAUAUAAAGGUUCACAUCUUUAGCCAAAGCUAAAGAGUGGCCUAAAUGGGUUCCAAUAGCCACAAUAACAAAAGCAAAAUCAAUAACAAAAGCCAUCUGAACUUCAUUUUUUUUUUCGACUCAAAGCAAUUGACUUUUGCCGAAUGAAAUAAACAUAAUCCCAGAGUUAAUACCAAAAGCCGGCAACUCUUGGUCUAAAUCUGAACUUCAUUUGAGAGGCCUAAAUUUAUGUUCACCUCGACCACGGCCCGAGGUCCUUUAUGAUUUGUAUGGUCUUUGAAGCUUUGAUUUGUUCAAGUGCUAUAAAUAUAUAGUGAUUUUUUGUUUCUUUAUUUAUUUAAUUUUUUUUUUGAUGGAAUUGUAAAUGAUUUUGAGAUGGAAAUGACUCGAAAAGUAAACUAGACUUUGGACGGAUCAUCAAUUUGUGUAGUAGAUGAAUGUUAAUGUUCCAUCUUUAUCUAAAACAGCAAAUGACCUGAGUCCUUUCUCGACCAUUUUGCUAACGACAACAUAGUCCUUUAACUUUAUUUUUAGUCAAUAUAAUUCUUCGACUACAAAUUUAUAGCCUUUUUUUUUUUUUUUCUAAAGGACAAAUCUAGAGUUGAAAUAUUCUUAUGGUUAGGGGAGAAAUGAGUUGGGUAGUUCGAGGAAGGGAGUAUGAUUAAAGAUCUCGAGUUCGACUUUUUAAUUUUUGUAUAUAUAUAUCUAUCUUAUAUAUAUAUAUAUAUAUAUAUAUAUAUAUAUAUAUAUAUAUAUAUAUAUAUAUAUAUAUAUAUAUAUCUAUCUUAUGCUUUCUUUCCUUUGGGUUCAAGUUGGGAGAGGGGAUGGUAGGGGAUGUGAUAAUUAUAAAUCCCAUCAUUAAUUGUAUUAAAACCUUUUGGAUUAAUACACUUACAGUGUGGACACUAUUAUCAUUAAAUAUAUGAUAAUUAAUUUGAAUUUAAAUUUAAAAUUCAAAUCUUACAUAUAUGUUAUAUGUCUAAUAGUGUAUAUACUAUCAAUCAGUGUAUAUAUGAUUAACUCAAUAUUUUUUUUUUUACUCUAAUGAUAUUGCUGUAGUAGAGCAGUUCAUAGGCCUUAGAUCUAAGGAUAAGGAGAAAAAAAUUGUAGAGUAAAGGGACAAUUUAAAAGGGGAAAAAAAACACACAGCAGACAACACAAAGUGAGCACCAUCUCAACCUCACUUGCGAGUUGAUAGGCCCAGAAUUUCUGUGCAAUGAUCCACCCACGCCUUGGUCCGAGGUCUUGUAUAUUUGCUUGGUCCGACCGUCUUAGAGGAGGCCUGGAGGGUGGUAACAGGCCCAACUUUAUUCCCUCUUAGGAACACAAAAUUUAUUCCCUCCAAAAUUUUAGGUCGUUAAUAAAUUGCAAUUUGCAAAGAGCAAAGCAAAUCCAAUCAUAAAGACCAGGGGAGAAGCCUGCGCAAUACAAUACGCAGGAGUGAGUACCUGUAUUAUAAUUUGUUAAGUAUCAUGAGAUUAAGAAAGUAAAAAAUAUUAUUAAUAUAAGUAAGAAAAUGAGAAAGUAUAGUAAUUUUUAAAUGCAGAAAUAGAAUCAAACACACUAAUUUGUUUAAGGGGAGAAAUGUAAAAGUAACCAAAUGCUCAUUUACUCACAUAAUCAUAAGUUAGUACAAAAUUUACCGCGAAAACAUGUGUCAAAAAAAAAUUGAAUCACUUUCAUCCUUGCAAUUGUAAUGAUUAGAAACAAAAUCAAACAACUAAUUGUAAAUCCUUUGUUCUAAGAUUGAACUAUUUCAGAUUGUAAAUUGUUUCUCCUAAAGUAAUCAACAAACAGGAGCCCCUAGCCAUAAAACUAUCAUAUGCUUAGAUAUUUAGGAAUGUUUGAUGUGUUUUUGCUAAUUAGUGCAUGUUUAUAUUUCCCCUUAUCACCGCUAAAACAUGUUUCACUACACAUCUCUUAUUUACUGUAGUCAUUUGCCUGGUUCCAUAAGUCAUACUAAUCGAAGCAAAGGUUAUGCUAAUCUAAUGAACAAAAUUUUUAUAAAAACACGCAACUAAUAGACGGACAAGCAUUCCAAUAAAUUCAAAAAAAAAAAAAAAAAGGUGCUGAUAAACUACUCAACAAAUCUUUAAUCCCAACAAAAUAGAAACUAUUUGUUCCAUGUAAAAAAUAUUCAGAAAUUUUACAAACAUUAAUUCACGUCCAAUUAACUCUCCACAAUAAACAUGUACUAAUUGAGGAUGAAGAUUGAGACUUUACCUUGAGUACAAAAAGUUCUGUAAAGCAGAUAACUUUUUCUCACCCUUCAACCACCAACAAUCAUAGGAAUCAAAGUUUAAGAACACAUUUAACAGAUGUAAAAAGGCACAGAAACAAUCCAUUGCAUCACAAAAUAUUCAAAUUCACAGCCUAACUAAUAAGAGCAAAUUGUAGAAAAGAAUCCACGAUACCUAUUGAACCAACUGAAGCAAAAAAAAAUAAUAAUAAAAGUACAGAAACGGACAGUGGAAAUUCUAGAAAUACCCGACCCAACGCCUGAAGAAAGCGUGAAACCCAACCCCAUGAGCCAACAUUUUUUAAUAUCCAAGUGCGCCGCCAUGAUUCUCAGGAAGCUCAAGAGUAUUGCAGUGUUUCUUGCAACGGAAUGACAAUCAUUACUCAUCCAUUAUCUAUUCAUCGUUGGUUAAAGAUCUAUUAAUUAGCGUUUUCAAUAAACCAUACUCUUCACAUCCGUUACAUUAAUCCUCAUCAGUUACUUGAAGAGCAAGGAUCCAACAAGAGUUCUUGCCAAGAGUGCCAUUUUUUGAAACCACUAAUCAAAGCUCCAUUACUCUGUUGAAUGGCAUGAAAACCCUUUCAAACACAACUCUCUCGCUAAUUAGAGUUCUUUGCAUUCUUCAUUGAAAGACAAUUCCCAUUCUUUCCAUCCAGCUCUUCCUGCAAGUUCUCAAAAGACUCUUUUGUCAUAAUAACAUUUCCCUCCAUCUUAAUGUCUUUUUCCCUAUUUGUAUUGUAUUUAUUAUGGCUCUUCUACCAGUCUUCCUCGCCCACAUUUAAAAAGGGUAUGUUGUAGUAUUUUAAUAAAAUAAUAAAUUCUCAAUUAGAUGUGCAAGUUACAAGGAAAAUAAAUUUUCUAAAAUUUAUAGGUAUUUGAAUGGUUUUACUAAAUAUUUAUUGUGUGAAAUUAUGGCCUUUCAAUUAAAUUGAAGCUUUGUAAGUUACAAUUCAAAUUUGGAUUUGAAUAGGUAUUGUCCAAAGAAUCAUUAUGUGAAAUUAUGAUUUUUUAAUUACAAUAAGUUUUUUUUUUGUAACUUAUAACUUUGAAUGUGUUUUGAAUGGCCAAUAAUUUCAGAAUUUAUUUGGUGUCUUAUUAGUAACAUCAGUUAUAUUUGUCUAACUUUUUUUUACCUAUAUAUAUGCAUAGUUGAGAUAGAAAAGUUCCACUACAACAACUUAUGUCUUUUUAGUACAAAUUCACUAUUUUCUAUCUCAUAGUAAGGUAAGAGACAAAAAGUGUUUAUAGAGCUUUACUCUCCUAGUUGUGUAAUCUAGAGAGUGUGUUAGCAAGUGUGGUUGGGCUGUUGUAUCCUGGGGGUGACAAGCUAGAGAACCUGUUGCACCGGAGUUAAUUCUUCCGCAGGGCUUGAAUCACCUUAAAGAGAGCGAGAUACCCGUGCCUCAACCCUCCACACUUGAGUACUAAUAUAUUGUUAUUAUCUAAUUUUUUUUUUGCAUAUCUGUUUUUAUUUUUUUUCUGUUCCAGGUGAACAACAAUUUUAAGGUGAAUCAGAUCAAAUGGAGACCAACUCGCAAGUUCAUAUCAAAGAGUCAAGUGAUUUGAACAAGCCAUUCCGUUUUAAUGGAGUCCACUUCAAACGAUGGAAGGGAAAAGUUCUCUUCUAUCUUAGUUUGAUGUAAGUGGCUUACAUUCUAUUGGAGAAAAAUCCCAAAAAAAUUUCAACAAUUGAGAUGAGUGAUGAGGACAAGAAAGUUCUUGAAGAAAAAAUCAAGAAAUGGGAAGACGAUGAAUUUCAUUGCAAGAAUUACUUGUUAAAUUGUCUUUCUGAUGAAUUUUAUGAAUUUUAUGAGAAUUCAUAUCCUACUGCUAAAAAGAUUUGGAGAGCUUUGCAGAAAAAAUAUGACACUGAAGAAGCAGGCGCAAAGAAAAUGCCGCAAGCCGCUACUUCAAAUUUCAAAUGGUGGAUGGAAAAUCUGUGGUGGUCCAAACUCAUGAACUUCAAAUGAUUGUACAUGAGUUAAGAUCCGAAGGAAUUCAGAUUGGUGAACAACUUCAAGUUGCUGCUAUAGUGGAUAAACUUCCACCAUCUUGGAAGGAAUUCCAAAAGAGCUUGCGAUACAAGCAAAAGGAGUUUUCAUUAAAAAGUCUCAUUACUCGUCUAAGGAUUGAAGAAGAAACAAUAAAUCAAGAUGCCAAAAGUGGACAAAAUGGUAAUGAAAAUGGUGCUACCAAGAUUGGAAUACAUUGUCUGGAGAUUCAUUAUCCAUUACUGAUAGGGUGUUAAUUAUUGGUUAUUUUAUUAUUAAUCUCCCUUUUUAUCCUUGCCAAAUAUUGCUUAAUUGUUAAUAUUUACUCAUAUUUGGUAUCUGGACUUAAUUUCAGGAAUGAAGUAGAAAACUACCAAAAAGAAGGGAUUUAAUGGAAAAUAUGGAAACUUCUAAGGGCUUCAAUUCUUGGGCCCUUGAAUUGGUGGGGGACCACAAGCUAGUGGAAAGCAUCUAGUCAUUUGGGCUCUUAAAAGAAAGCUACGGGAAAGAGACUUGGAACAAGAAGUACUUGGAGGGCUUUGUCCACAUGUGUGGGGACCACCUAGAUAGCCUUUAGUCAUCUUCCUCUUGUUGCUUAAAUAGGGAUAACGUAGAGUAGCAGGGACAUCUCUAGUUUUAGUUUAGUUUUAGUUUCUUUUCUUUCUUUCCUUAGACUGGCCUCUGACACACGCCAGGUGUUCGACAAUAUUCCCCAACGGGGAGAUUUUCUCAUGAGGCGUGGUUAAGCUUUUCUAGUCAAGGGGACAACUGACGAUUUGGUUCGACAAUUACUGUGAGAUCGAAUCUGUUUUAAUUAUUUUCUUCAUUUAUUGGUAUUUAUAUGUUCCUUGAUUUUAAUUGCUAUGGCCUUGUGUAUGAUUGAUUAGUGCGCAAUAAUUAAUUAUUCAUAUAGGCUAUUUUUGCUAAAUAGGGUAAUUGAAUCCGUAAUUGUUCGUUAUCUCUACCUCAGUAGCAACUGGCGUAAUUGGGUUUAUGUCAGGGGAGCAUAUGAUCUAAUUUAAACAAACCCUCGUAGCGUGUUUGUUGGUUAGGAUUGGGUCUUUCUAAUUAUUAAUGCAAUCUAGAAAUUAAAUCUUACGGUCGUACCUAGGGUUAUUUUUGGGUUAGAGAAAUAGCUAACGGUCGUACCUUAGCUAUCGAGAAAUUAAGGAAGGGUUGGUUGUUUAUCGCGUGCAUGACAACUAUAACUAAUCUACUGCUAAAUGUUGGAAUUAUUUCUGCAUCAAUGAUCAGUGCAUGAACCAUUUCUGAUGUGUACCCUUGGCUAGAGUUUCCCCAAUCAUUUCUUUUAAUUAAUUAUUUUCUGCAGUUAAUUUAUUUAGUUAGCAUUUAAUCCAAAACCCCCCAUACUUUGGACUCUAGAAGAAACGAAUUAUCCCCAGUCCCUGUGGAUUCGACCCUACUCACCGCUAUAUACAAAAUCUGUAUUUUUCUCGAGUAGGUAUUUAUUAUUACACAGGUUCGGCACCUGUCAAUUUUUGGCGCCGUUGCCGGGGACUGGUGCAGAUUAAUUUGUUUCUUUUCGAGUUCUUGUUUUCAUUUUUAAUUUAUUUUUUUUCUUUUUUUUUUAUAUAGUUUAUGGCUGCUAACAUUCCAUAUUUUGAUGAUAGACUGGACUUUGUUCCUGAAUGGGGUUAUGAGACUCAUGUUUCCUAAUGAUCAAUGGGCUGUUGCAAAUUGUGGAACUUAUUUUGAUUCAGGUUAUUCAACUGCCCCGAUUUCAAGAUAAUUUAAGUUCUCCACUUGAUACUUUUGGAGAUUUUCCACCCAAUAUCAAACGCAGUAUGACCCUUAUUCAAACGGGUAUGAUCAAGAAUGGUGGGAUAAUUCCAAUUUUGAUUAUUCGACGGGCCAAUGGAUGUUCAACAGCAAGAGUCUCAGCAAUCAUCCUCCGUGUCAGGUAUGUCUCUUGAAGAAAUGAUAGGUUUACUAAUUGCUAAUUCAAAUCGAUUUCAUCAGGAGACACAAGCGAGCCUAAAUCGAUAUCAUCAGAAGACACAAGCGAGCUUCGCGACCUGGCGGAUCAAAUGCGUCAAUUGACAUCCAGGAUAGAUCGAUUGGCUUCUCAAAUGGAAGAAUUGCCCGCACAAACCAAUAUCAAUCUUGAGGAAGAUGAGAGUGCAAUUGUCCGGCCAAAUGACAUGGAACUGCAAGAGUUUCAAGAAAACGGAUUUAAAGAUGCAGUUGAAAAGGAAGCUGAAGUGCAAGAAAUGAGACUCCAGGAUCAACUCAUUCAAGUGAACGAUUCCAGUGAACAAUCUCCAAAUGCGGUGACAUCUUCUCCACUCCUUAAUCAAUAUUUUCCUGACUCCUAUUCUUCAACUCCUGUUACUGAAAUUGAUUUUAUUAUACCAGAAAAUUUAAAAUUUCAUGACAGGAAUAAAUUAAGAGUGGAGAUGGCAAAAUAUCUUGAACCAAUGAAUGCGUGUGAUGGAGGAGUGAGUGGAGAAUGCAGAUCAUUGUUGACUUGUUUAGCGCCAUUUACUAGUCCAUGGAAGCCCGUAACUCGUGUGCCCAAGAAUUACUCCAUCUAUGAGGGUUACCAGGAUCACGUUGAAGAUGAAGCAUUGAAGCGAGCCACAAGAUUUUAUCCUCCAUGAGCAAAACAUGAUAAUGUCUAGCCAAAGACAUUAAAGAAGGGCGCUUUUUGGGAGGCAACCCAAAUAUUGGUUUUAUUAUUUUUAGUUGUUCAAUUCUUUCGUUCUGUUGUUUCUCAUUUGGAUAGUAGUUGGUCUUGAUAUUUUUCUCCACUGUGAUCAGGAAGUGAAAUCUUGGCGUGCCCACGCGGUGUUUAGGUCUCUGAGAUCAGAGGACGAACACCAAUCUUGGCAUGCCCACGCGGUGUUUGGGUCUCUUGAGGUCAGUGGAUGUUUUGUAAUCUUGGCAUGCCCACGCGGUGUUUGACGACCCAAAACAUGAAAAAAAAAGAAAAAAAAAAGUUUCAAAAUUUCACAUUGAGAAAAUUCAAAAAUUCAAAAGGCAUUUUUCUUUUUCUUCAAAAAUUCAAAUUUUGGAAUUUCAAAUUCAGGAAAAAAUUUGAAAAAAAAAAACCCCAAAAAAGAAAAAAAAAAUUAAGAUUCAAAAAAAAAAAAACUAUUUUUUUUUCUCUUUUCUUUUUCUCUCUUCUUUUUCUUUCUUUCUUUCUUCUUUUUCUUUCCUUCUUCUUCUUCUUUCUUUCUUCCUUUCUUCCCCGCUGCCCUGCUUCCUUUCUCUUUUAUUUCUUCUUUCGGCUGCCUUCCAUCCGCCACCACCCACUUCGCACGCCACCACUGCCCACGCUCCACAGCUGCGGCCACCACCUCGCACCACGCGCGCGCACGAGCUCCACCACGUGCGACCACCAUCAGUUCUCCUCCAGCUUCAUCCGCGACCAGGGCCACCAUCGCGCGCUGCUCGCGCGCACGAAGUUUCGCCCACCGCCUCUUCCUGCCAACCGCCGCCACCUCCCUCUGCUCUCUCUCCACCUCGUCACCAGCUCACGGCCAACAGCUCCUCCGCUGCUCCACUGCUCCACCACCCAUGGCCAUCUGCUUGGUGUCUCUGGUAUGAGGCGGAGGUACUUGUUUUUCCCAAAUUAUUGGCCAACUUUCUAAGGUACAUUACUUAAAUUUGGAGUCCUAUUUCUGGAAUAGAUUUCUAGAUUGAAUUGGGCACAGACUUUGGGUUCUAUGUUGAAUUUUGGUUUUCGGGCCCUGCUAAAUUAUUUUGCUGAAUUCUUGAUGCCCUAUGACCGUUGAUUUAAGUAGCUAAGGUAUUCGGGCCUCUGCUGAAUUGUAGUUGGCAGAGUUGUGCAUUUAUUUGUUCAAUCCAACAACUAUAAUACUUAGUGCAUUGAUUGUUGAUUUAAUGGCCAUAGUUACUAUCCCAAUUCAUUUGGUUGGUUGAGUUGUGCAAUUGACUGUCCAAUUGGAGACAGUUGUUGAGAUUUUGGGUGGAAUUCAAUUUAUUUGCUACCCCAUUUGGGGGUGCUCUCUGGUAUUGAUUAUAUUGUUGAAUAUUAUUUGGGCUUUGACUACUUGAGAUUUCUAUUGCAUCUGGGGGAUAAAAUUGGAUGACUUUUGUGCCAGUUUAUUUGUUUGGAAAUUGUUGGGGGUAAUUUGGGAGUUACUUGUCAAUUGGGUCCCGUGUUACUCUCUGCCAUUCAGUGGUACUGAGUGGUGUGUUUGGCGUUAUCACAUGUCUUGGGUUGGCCAUUUGAUUUCAAUUUUCCUUAUGCAUGCACCAGUGGUACUGGUGAGGGUAGUUUACAUAAUAUUUGUUACUCCUGUGUUAUUGGUUGCCUAAUCGACUACUGGGCAUUUGUGGUUGAGUUGUUUCUGUCCAACUUCUGAACUGUUGUUGCUGGAGUUGCCAUUUUCUUGGGUCAAUUGCUAAUUUUAGCAGGUUGAAGUGGGUAAUUGACUGUCCAAUUGGAGACAGUUGUUACGAUAUUGGGUCCGAUUGUGUCUAAUUGUGAAAGUUGUUGAUUUAUUAAGACACUAGCACAGUUCCUAGUUUGUUCGAGUUGCUGUUCUGUUGCAUUAUUGGGAGCUGUGCUCUAGUAUUGUGGCUACUUUUCUGCGUUUCUUUGUUGAAUUGGGGCAUGAAUGUGCAGUUUGCAUUUGCUUGUUGAAGUCGGUUGCCUUUAAUUGACUUACUUGGGGUAUUUAGAGCAGUUGUUGCACUUUGGACGACCUUAAUUCUGAAUUUGACUACAUGGGGUCCAUAAGUACUUAUUGAUUGCAUUUGCUAUAAGUGUUGGGGUAUUUGUAUGACCUCUGGGUUGUUGAAUUGUGCAUUUUAUUCGUUGGGUUGGCUUUUCAAUUCUUAUUGCUUUGAAUUUCCUGUUUCCAUUAUUUGUUGGCCAUUGUUGUCUCUUGUCAAGUGGAGUGAUCUUUAGAACCAAUGGUGAGGCCAUGGUCAUCUUCUAGGUCUAGGACACCUAGAACCUCACAUGGCGCAGAAUUUGGCAGCAUCUAUGCACCAUGCAGGUCCUGCUCCUCAGUUCCCGCCCGAUCCGCCCCUAUUUUGACGACUUUCAGGGAAGUUCCGUUGCCUUUCGCCUUGCUAUUAUAUUUAUUUAUCACAUUGAGGGCAAUGUGUGAAUUAGGUGUGGGGGGGAUCGUUGUGGUGCUAGUAUUUUUAUUUUUAGUUUCUAAGGGCUUUUCCUUUAUUUUUAGCUUCUUUUUUUUCGUUUAUUUUCUUUUCUUAUUUUCUCUAGUGGUCAGUCUUCAUAUGAAUACCAAGUUUUGAUACCGGAUUGUUGUCUCUAAUUCUGCUAUUGCCAAGUUUUAUAUAAUAAAAGGGUAUCAAGUUGAUGUGGUUGGGUUCAGGAACAUCUCUUUGGUGAAUAUCAAUAAUUGCUUAACUUUUUCAAUUUUUGGUUAACUUUUCUAGGCAUAGGGAAUGAUUGUUGGCAUUUUUUUUUUUCAUGUGAAUUGGUCCAAUUAUUAAUUUUAGUUCUCCAUGUGUGGAAAUUUGAGGCUGGCUGCUGUUAUUUUUGUGUUAUUUUUAGAUAUCGUGCUAUAUGGAUAUAAAUAAGAAUUGACUGUACUCCGCUAGUAGUUACUACUGAGUAACCGGAGAUCUUCACCUAAAGUGUCGAUUCUCGCGUCAAAAGGUAGUAGUUAUUAUGAGUGCGUGGUCCCGUAGCAAUUGGAGCUGAGUAACCGGGCUUCUCCAUCUAUCAAAUGUUGGAGUUCGCGUCAAAAGGUUCUAAGGGUUAUAGACUAAGUCUUUUGUUAUUCAAAAAGAAAAAAAAAAGGAAAAGAAACAAAAACAAAACGAAAAGGAAAAAAUAAAAUAAAGAUUGUGUUAGUAUGUGAAUAAUUCAGCUUGCCGGUUUGUGAUCUUAAUGUCGAGAUUUUGGUUAAUAGCUGGACCAUUUACUGAUAAAUGUGAGCAACCAUUCUUUUUCUUAGAUUAGUUUGCCUUAAAUUGGAAGAGUUGGUAGUUUAGAUGCUAACCGGGGUGAUUUUUCUUGGAUCUUGACCUGUGUCGCUUGAUAUAUGAUUUUCUUGGUGUCUUGGCAAUACGGUAGUUGGAGUAACAGCCAUGGUCAAAUUUUGGUGUUCAAUUGUUGUUCCCAUGCUUGAGGGCAAGCAUGAUUUAGGUGUGGGGGGAAUUGAUAGGGUGUUAAUUAUUGGUUAUUUUAUUAUUAAUCUCCCUUUUAUCCUUGCCAAAUAUUGCUUAAUUGUUAAUAUUUACUCAUAUUUGGUAUCUGGACUUAAUUUCAGGAAUGAAGUAGAAAACUACCAAAAAGAAGGGAUUUAAUGGAAAAUAUGGAAACUUCUAAGGGCUUCAAUUCUUGGGCCCUUGAAUUGGUGGGGGACCACAAGCUAGUGGAAAGCAUCUAGUCAUUUGGGCUCUUAAAAGAAAGCUACGGGAAAGAGACUUGAAACAAGAAGUACUUGGAGGGCUUUGUCCACAUGUGUGGGGACCACCUAGAUAGCCUUUAGUCAUCUUCCUCUUGUUGCUUAAAUAGGGAUAACGUAGACUAGCAGGGACAUCUCUAGUUUUAGUUUAGUUUUAGUUUCUUUUCUUUCUUUCCUUAGACUGGCCUCUGACACACGCCAGGUGUUCGACAAUAUUCCCCAACGGGGAGAUUUUCUCAUGAGGCGUGGUUAAGCUUUUCUAGUCAAGGGGACAACUGACGAUUUGGUUCGACAAUUACUGUGAGAUCGAAUAUGUUUUAAUUAUUUUCUUCAUUUAUUGGUAUUUAUAUGUUCCUUGAUUUUAAUUGUUAUGGCCUUGUGUAUGAUUGAUUAGUGCGCAAUAAUUAAUUAUUCAUAUAGGCUAUUUUUGCUAAAUAGGGGUAAUUGAAUCCGUAAUUGUUCGUUAUCUCUACCUCAGUAGCAACUGGCGUAAUUGGGUUUAUGUCAGGGGAGCAUAUGAUCUAAUUUAAACAAACCCUCGUAGCGUGUUUGUUGGUUAGGAUUGGGCCUUUCUAAUUAUUAAUGCAAUCUAGAAAUUAAAUCUUACGGUCGUACUUAGGGUUAUUUUUGGGUUAGAGAAAUAGCUAACGGUCGUACCUUAGCUAUCGAGAAAUUAAGGAAGGGUUGGUUGUUUAUCGCGUGCAUGACAACUAUAACUAAUCUACUGCUAAAUGUUGGAAUUAUUUCUGCAUCAAUGAUCAGUGCAUGAACCAUUUCUGAUGUGUACCCUUGGCUAGAGUUUCCCCAAUCAUUUCUUUUAAUUAAUUAUUUUCUGCAGUUAAUUUAUUUAGUUAGCAUUUAAUCCAAAAUCCCCCAUACUUUGGAAUCUAGAAGAAACGAAUUAUCCCCAGUCCCUGUGGAUUCGACCCUACUCACCGCUAUAUACAAAAUCUGUAUUUUUCUCGAGUAGGUAUUUAUUAUUGCACAGGUUCGGCACCUGUCAAUUACUGGAUAUAUUUUUACUUUAGCUGGUGGUGCUAUAUCUUAGAAAUCAAAGAAGCAACAAAUUAUAGCCAAAUCUACAAUAGAAGCUGAAUUAAUUGCAUUAGCUUCAGCUUUUGAAGAAGCAAGUUGGCUACGAGAUCUUACACAUGAGAUUCCAUUAUGGGAAAAACCAGUGCCACCAAUAUUAAUACAUUGUGAUAACACUGCAGCUAUUGGCAGGGUAAAUAAUCGAUACUACAACGGAAAAUCAAGAGCAAUAAGAAGAAAGCACAGUGUUGUGCGAGCAUAUAUUAGAAAUGGUACCAUCAAUGUGAAUUAUACAAGGUCAAGGGAUAAUAUAGUUGAUCCCUUGACAAAACCUCUAACUAGAGAAAAAGUUUGGGAUACCUCGAGAGAGAUGGGAUUAAAGUCCAUAAUUACAUAAAUCACAUGUAAGGAUACCCAACCUAAUGAUUGGAGAUCCAAGAAUUAGGUUCAAAGGGAAAAAACGAAUUACAUAAUGGUUUGAAUAAAAAUGUGCACAACCUUAUUAAUAUUCCAUCUCCAUGGUGUAUGUGCAUAUAUCUUGUAAUGUAAGUAAGGUUGAGUUUCUUUACUCUUAAUGAAAUCUAUAGCUCUUAUGAGUGGAGUGUUUGAAUUAAAGGAGCACUCUUGAUGGAUUUCACCUAUAUGAGUAUUAUGGGUGGGGUCGCCCUGAAGAGAAUUGGGACUUAUUCUCUAAAACACUCAUGAAACUGGGAUUGAACAAGGCAGAAAAGUGCCAGCUUUAAGAGCUCAUGAGAACACCUGGACUAUUAUAUGUGUAAGGUAAUAUUUAAUAUCUCAUAAGCAGCAUAGUUCAAGACUGUAGUUCACUACUGGCUCUGGUAUUAGAAAUUACUGCAACACUAAAUAUAGGUUCAAGGCAUUGCCACCUAUAUUAAGUAUGAUAGUCCUUUCUUGCCAUUUAAAUUUUAUACUAUUUUUUUAAAGUAAGUGCGGGAUUGUUGUAGUAUUUUAAUAAAAUAAUAAAUUCUCAAUUAGAUGUGCAAGAUACAAGGGAAAUAAAUUUUCUAAAAUUUAUAGGUGUUUGAAUGGUUUUACUAAAUAUUUAUUGUAUGAAGUUAUGGCCUUUCAAUUACAUUGAAGUUUUGUAACUUACAAUUCAAAUUUGGAUUUGAAUAGGUAUUGUCCAAAGAAUCAUUAUGUGAAAUUAUGAUUUUUUAAUUACAAUAAAUUUUUUUGUAACCUAUAACUUUGAAUGUAUUUUGAAUGGCCAAUAAUUUCAGAAUUAUUUGGUGUCUUAUUAGUAACAUAAGUUAUAUUUGUCUAACUUUUCUUCACCUAUAUAUAUGCAUAGUUGAGAUAGAAAAGUUCCACUACAACAACUUAUGUCUUUUUAGUACAAAUUCAUUAUUUUCUAUCUCAUAGUAAGGCAAGAGACAAAAAGUGUUUAUAGAGAUUUACUCUCCUAGUUGUGCAAUCUAGAGAGUGUGUUAGUAAGUGUGGCUGCUCUAUUGUAUCGUGAGGGUGACAAGCUAGAGAACCUGUUGCACCGGAGUUUAUUCUUUCGCAGAGGCUUGAAUCACCUUAAAGAGAACGAGAUACCCGUGCCUCAACUCUCCACACUUGAGUACUAAUAUAUUGUUAUUAUCUAAUCUUUUUUUUUUUUUUUGCAUAUCUGUUUUUAUUUUUUUUUGUUCCAGGUGAACAACAGGGUAUUAUCAACAUAACAUACCAAUGCACGCAUGAUCAAACUCUAUCCAGCGCUUAAUCAUUUGUAUUAUACUUUUUCUCUUCCAUAUUUAUCUUUUCAGAUGUCAGAUGAAGUUUUUCCAAAAAAACAGCUGCAAAAUGCUUUUAUACAUGUAUAGGAUUCCUCAUUAUUUUACUAAUAUCUUUCUCCCAAGCAAAUAUUCGAUUAAGCUUUCGGAAAAAAUGACCAAAUCCAGUAAGUACAAUGAAUUUCUCACACGGGCCGGGGCAUCUUUAGUUCGAUAGCAGAUUCCAACAACACUAACUUCUUUUAUAUAUUUAUUUUUGGUACUUCACCUUCAAAGUACUCCCAAAUCGCCUUCAUAAUCUGUUUUUCAAGGAGAGAAUGUUCUAUUCCUCUGCAGUAUCGGAUCGUGUAUAUAGAUAGAUCUCAAGCAAUUGAGGGAUUCUCUCUUUUUUUUUUCUUUUUUUUUUUUGUGGAAAAGGAAUUUAGCUAUACAUAUAUUAUACUUUAGUCUGCCUUGUAAGUAAUUGUUAGAACUUGAAGAGGGACAAGAAAAGAGAAUUAAACUGAGCUGUUCAAGAAAGAUAUACAACAAUUUAGUAAAUAUUACAGAAAGUGGAAAAAAAGAUCCUUUACGACCGUCGCCUCUUUUUCGAGUUAUCCCCCUGAUGCGUUAAAUCCAUGCGCUUUCCAUGCAAACCAUAAUAGCUAAUACUACAUCACUAGCCCAAAGUUUCUAUAUAUAUGUGUGUGUGUGUGUGUAUACUGCACUGUAUAAGCAGGAGGAGAAGAGUGGGCUUAAGAAGUGAGGAGGAAGAAAAUGAUGAAAAUUCCUCCACUUGGGCGAGGUCAUAGUAUUUGUAAACCAUCAUUAGUUCAAUUUAUCGUUACAAUAUCAGUAUUCUGCAUUAUAUUGAAUGGAACGCCAAUUGAUUCAAUCAAAGGGAGAUUUGAGUUCUACUUUUUCUAAUUAAAAAAGAAAAAAAGAACAAAAGAGAUUCUUAGAUGACAAUGAUUGUUUAUGGCAAAGGCAAACUCCUUACGUCCCACAGUAAUGUCCCGGUUUCCCUAGUUUAGAUGCCACCCACCUGAUAGUAAAAGGAAAGAAGGUGAAGCAGAGGGACCGAUUUUGAUUACGUUAAUAUUCAUGCUUAGCACUAAUUGCCACUAAUGGGGUUGCUUUUAUUAAAGAAUCCAUACAUAGGCAGAAAUGCAUCAUGGACAAUCGAAUCGCACUUAUGGGUUGUGGAGGACAAAUUCAGAUUCGAACAUUCAAUCAUAGUCACAGAUACUAAACAAAUAGAAUCAAAUCAUUUCUUAUCCAUUUACAGUCCUUUUUCUCAUCUAAGUGAUUCAAUUUUCUCAGCAGUCUAUAAAUUACAAGAGUCGUCUAUAAAGCUCUCUAAGUGAUACAAAAUCCAUAGUAUAAAGUACUGAUCCAGGCAAGCUAAUUAAACAAGCCAUUCAGAUACUAGUUCUAUGGCCAAGCCAAGUUUUUGGCAAUGGAAUUCUCCAGUUCCAUAUGUCUACUGCUUUUUUGCCUUCCUCUUGGUGCUCCUUGCCUGUGCUUUAGUCAUUCUGUUCUGCUCUCAUCCAUUUUCCUCAGAAUCCAAAAGCGAUGCAGAAGAAAAGGAAACAAGAAACUUGAGCGCUGUAGAUCCAGAGACGAUCACAGUAUUAGUAGUCUUGCCAGGACAUGCCAAUCCCAUGUACGUAGCAAAGCCCCUGGCUUCUAGUACUGCUGCUUCUGCAGCUAACCACCUGUAAAUCAUGUAUAGCUUUUUAGCUUUGAAGAUGGAUGUUUGACUGUAACUUUGGAACGUUUUCACCAUGUUUGUAUUGCAAUACAAAGAAUCUGACCGAAUUUUCCACGGCUUUUCAAAACAGUGGCAUCGGGAUUUUCAAUCCUGAUUCAUGAAUGUCAAGAAAUCUAUCAUGUCAUAUCUAAGAUGUUUGCACUUUCCAGCAUGCUUGUCUAAAAAUUCAUCUGCAUUUUUCAUUCUAUAUAUGUCUUCUAAUCUAAGUGGAUAAAUAGUACAGGUACUUUACUAAGUCAGGAUUUACAGCUGGCAUCGAUCAUUUCACACUACUGUGUUUCUAAAGAUUUUUAUAGCAUCUGAGUCGCUUUUUUUUUUUCUUUUUCUUUGAAGAUCAAUCAAGAUCUUAUCCAUUGUUGCAGUCUGAUUAAUCUUUUCUGCAUUGAUAAUGUAUAAAGAAUUCGAAUUCGAUACAUACCUGAUGCUACUUCAUAUUAGCUUGUGUUGUAGUAUUAGAUUAUUU
rnacentral:lncRNA from 1 species